rnacentral:lncRNA from 1 species
UAGAGGGUGAUCUUAGUACCCCGUCCAAGCUGCUCACCAGAGGUAUCACGUGUAACAGUGAAGGACCCACCGGCCUGUGACUCCCACACAUACUGCUCGUCGUCGUUGUGCUUGGUGGUCACAACAACCCUCUCAGCAACAAGGUAGGCGGAGUAGAACCCGACACCAAACUGCCCAAUCAUGGACACAUCAGCACCAGCAGCGAGCGCCUCCAUGAACUCCUUGGUCCCCGACCUGGCGAUGGUACCGAGGUUGUUGACGAGGUCCGACUUGGUCAUGCCGACACCACUGUCGAUGAUCGACAGGGUGUUGCUAGCCUUGUCGGGGACAAUGUGGAUGAACAGCUCCGGCUGCGCAUCGAGCUUGCUCUUGUCCGUGAGGCUCUCGAACCUAAUCUUAUCCAAUGCCUGCAGAAACCACACACACCCAUGUCACAUCGAAUUCAUCACCCAAACACACAGAUCUGUAAAAGCAUCAGCACACUACCACACUAUACAGAUUACACGCACGGGUAAACACACAACCCUCGCUGAUUUGUAACAAGUUUAUGCUAGUGCUCAGAUGUGGCCAUAUUCACAUUUCGAUGAGUAAAACAAACAAAUAAACUAGCACAAACUCUACAAAUCACGAGUCAACGCUCACACCUCAUUGAUUUGAAACAGGUCUACGCCCUAUCAGUAUAUGAUCCUCAGAUGCCGUCACGCUCACAGAUCGACGCGUACAACAACAGCAAAGAGCACAUAAGCAAGCACCGAUUUCGAUUCCUCGACGAGAGGGGAUUAAUUUCGGGGGCGGCGCAAACUUACAUCGGAGGAGUUGGAGAUGAGCUCGCGGAGGAAGAUCUCCUUGUUGGAGUAGAAGGUGUUGAUGAUGAGGGACAGCAGCUGGUUGAUCUCGGCCUGGAAGGCGAACGUCUCGGUCUCCGACGCCAUGGCCGCGCGCCUUGCGUGCUCCUGAUCUCUCGCCGGCGGGAAGAGGAGCUCGCGGGCGGAGGAGACGACGCGCGGCUGCGGCUGCGGCUGCGGCGGCGGCUAGGGUUAGGAGAGGGUUUUGAGAGGGCGAGAUCGUGGGGGUGGGAGAUGCUUUUAUGCGGUCCUCGUUGUUCUCGAACCUUCUACGUGGGCCUAGAAGCCGGCGAGGCCGCAGCGCGUGUUGACUAGUCGUUGCGGGUGGGCCAGGCCGGACCGGCAGUGAGAUUUUGCGCGUGAUUAGGUGUAGUGGGCGUAUAGAAGGCCAUAAAAUUCUGAAGAAAAUGAGGCCCAUAAAGCCCAUGAAGACAAGCGAGGGUCCAGUGGCCCGUAAAGCCCAUGAAAACAAACUAGGAUCAAGUCGCCAAUGAAGUCUAUGAAAACAAGCUAUGAAGCGCAUUCAAGACAGUAGAGGGUCCAGUCGCCGGCGAAGCCCAUGGAAAGAAAGGGAGGGUCAAGAGGAGAGAUUUGAUAAUUUAACCCUUUUCAAAAUGGGUUUCGAUUAUUAGAUUCUAAACCACUUUAAUCCACUCAGAUAGUCCCACGUGAAGUUGGAGAUGGAUAUUUGCAAAUAAACCCCUUCUACUAUUAUAGGCAUGUUCAGAUUGUAGCCAAAAUAAACCUUACCAAGUUUUGGCAAUACCAAAAUUUUAACAAGAUGGCAAUAUUGCCAACAUUUUGGCAGGAUUUCUUAUGUAUUGACCAAAUUUGGUAACAAACUAAACGUAUAUAUUUUUUGGCAACUUUGACAAAAAAAAUGGUAUGGUUGAAAAUGGCAUCAAAAUGAACAGGCCCUAUGUGUUCAAGAGUAUUAGUUGGAUACUUCCGGCCUCAUCGGUUACUCAUAUUUUCUAAUAAGCCAUUUUGGUUCAUUAGAUAAUAAAAAACUAAUUUAUUGGUAAAACUUUUUAUACAUGUGUUCUUAACGAUUUAAAAGUCGAUGCUGAAAAAAAAACUAUGUUGAAAAAAAUCUUUAAAUCAACUUCAAAAUUAAGUUUAAAAAUUCAAAUUUUAUCUUUUGCUUUGGCUUAUUAAGGCAACCGAUGGGGCUCUUCUUCUUUCUGUACAGAAAACAAUAUAGUUCAUUAGCACAUGAUUAAAUAUUAGUAAAAGAAUAAAAAUAGAUUAAUAUGAUUUUAAAAAUUCAACUUUUCUAUAGUAAAUUUUUUUAAGAAAAACACAAUGUUUAGUUGUUGAAGAAAUAUGCAUGAAAAACAAGGGAGUAAAAAGUGGAAAAGUGGUGUUUCUACCCUUCAACCAGAUGCAGCCAUGCAGGUCAUCUGCAAUAUUGUACAUGCAAUAUUGCUCACUGACAUGUGAACCCCAUAGCCUCUCGGGCUCACAUGUAAGUGAGCAGUACUGCUCAAUUGUCCUUCAACCAUCCUGUGGUCAGCACCACAAAUGGACGGAACGAGAGAUCGUGCGGUUGCACAUGAUUUAACGCCUUAAUUAACUACUCCAAGAUAUUAACCGCACUAAUGUCCUGCACCUGUGUUUGACUCGAGAGGGUAAUUAGCGUGGACGUCACUAAUGAUGGUCGUCGUCUACUCGUCUUUCGUACUCAGUGCGAUCGAUGAAGUGACAGUAAAUGUUAGCUAGCCAUGCACUUUGUACAGUUUCUUCGCCCAUUUCUGCACGCGGCUGACUGACCAGAUGCAAUGCACUUGUACACGUUUGGUAGGCCGUCUUCGAUCCAUUCCCGGUUAAUCAAAUGAUAUAUGUAAUUAUGUAUAUCUUCUCUUGUAUAUAUGCAGCAUGCUAGUAUAAUGUUAGGUACAGUUCUUUUGGGUUAUUUUUUUUAUCUCGAUUUUGUCAUGGCAACUACGAGCAAACGCUGCUUUUCCUGCUUGUCCUACGAGCCUGAACAAACGGCAGGAUGUUGCACAAAGUGACAGUCCUUGUUAGGUUUCUGCUCUUCUGCACUGCACUAUCCAUUUGCAAAUAUUUUGCAUGGAAGCUAGCAGAAAAUGCUAUGUGUUGUUCAUGAGUCUAAUCAAAGUUAAUUAAUCAAAUCUGAUGCUGUCUAAGGAGCAUAUUGGAAUGCAUCAAUCAUAUGAGUGUGUGUAACUUAUUGGUGCCCUUUGUGUGCCAAUGUCUCAUCCUCUGUCAUGUUCUCAAUGUAUCAACGCUGUAACUUCUCAAGAAUCAAUGUUUAUGUACUACUACUACAACUACAUAGUUUAACUAACUCCUAACCAGGGCUAAACUGAACCAACUAAACAAUUACGGAGUAUUACUGAACAACAAGAACAGCGCUUAAUUAGCAAUGCGCGUUUCGUUUCAUCUCACGCAGCAAUGACACACGCUUGCAACGCACCAGCUGUGUUUGUGAUCACUUUGUCAGUGCAUCAGCAAAUCGAGCACUGCAUGCAUACGCAUUUCCUGCUUUCUGGCGUGGUGGAGGCAGGAAAGCAACCUCCAACAUAUCAGCAUUCACCACCCAAUAUAUUACACAAUUUGUGACACAGGUCGGUCUCUCUGCCUGCCUUUCGGAACGGGAAGAGGUGUCAUUUUCCUAUGCCCAUUUCGAUCGUAGCCAAAUUGAUCUAGAUUUGAAAUAAAUUAUAUAUAUAUAUAUAUAUAUAUAUAUAUAUAUAUAUAUGGCAACGUAAUCCUUCUGUUUUAAAAUAUAAGCAUUUCGCAUUCAGGUUCCAAUGGGCAAGAAUUCAAGCAUUCUAAUCAAUCAGGUGCUUAUACGGUGAAUCCAGACAAUUCGAAAUUUGACCGGAAUUCUUUUUUCUUAUCCUUUAUCUUUGCUAAACAUCAUAGGAACAUUUACAUUUAGAGCGAUGCUGGGGAUCCACUUAAUUUAAGUGGCUCCGACUUGACGUACGACUGAUCUAAACGGCAAUUUACGCUCAGUCUGUGUUUAGUUCCACACUAAAAUUAGAAGUUUAAAAAAAUAGGAAUGAUGUGAUGGAAAAGUUGAAAAUUUGCGUACGUAGGAAAGUUCGAUGUGAUAAAAAAAUUAGAAGUUUGAAAAAAAAGUUGAAAUCUAAACAGGGCCUCCGUAGUGCGCGUGUUCGUGCUCGUGCAAUCAAGUUGGAUCGAGUUGGGAGUUGGAGUUGACAGUUCGUCACUAGCUCGAUCGCUAGUCGUCGCCGUGUGUGUAAUGCCAUGGUGCUCCUUGAUCGGACGCCGGCUAGUAGCUAGCCAGCAGCGUGUGUGGCGAACAACCUAAUCUUUUUCCUUCGCACGGGCGGCCGGCUGACGGCGACGAGCCGCCGACGACGAGGAGGACGACUUUGACGCCCGCGUGUGGUGUGGACCAGGGCACCAACAGCAGUGGUGGUUUAUGCGUUGCCAACUACUGACGAGAUGCUAUAUAAGCAGCAGCAAUGGCCAUCGCUUCAGCUGCACGGACAAAUUAAGCGAGGGAGUGAGAGCUAGCUAACUCAGGCUCAGCCAACUGAUCGCGAGCUGUGACGAGGUGAUCACCAUGGCGUCCUCGUCGUCGCUUCUUGUUCGUGGGAGAGCGUUCGCGCUGGUUGUGGCUGUAGCUCUGGUGGCUGCUCCUCGCCGGAUUAAUGGCGGCGCCGCCGGGCCGGCGGCGAGGACGAACGACCCCAACUGGCACGUCUUCAGCGUCAGCUCGCUGCUGCCGAGCUCGGCCUGCACUGCAUCGAAAGGUAGUGUCAGUUUUGCAGCCUGUCUCCUUUCGCAACUGUAUCUGAAACUGAAGCAGUUACUGCGGAAAAAUAAUGUAACCUGGUCGGCCAUUAACCAUCUCGAUCGAACUUGCUUUAUAUAAAUCUCGUCCAUUUGAUCAAACUGAGGAAUUGAAAAACCCAAUAAGAAAUCUGUUAGGCCAAUUUGGAGUAUGGUUAGUCUGUAUCCUGCAAACAAGUAUUGUGACUGAAGUAGCAUCUGCAUUAUUCUGAAAUUUUAGUACCACUGAAACUCAGCUACCGUGAUAGCAUAUGCAGCAUAUAUCGAAUUUAUAAGAUAUUCUAAGGGAAACAUAAUAUGUUUUACAGUAGUAUUGAUCAGAAUUACAUCAGGUAAUCUGUUGCUGAUUGAUGCGAGUAAACUUUUGGCAUGCUGAUGACUGAUCACUACACAAAAUUUUCAGUGCAGUAAAAAGCUUUGGGGCGGUUCAGAUUAAAGCCAUUUUUAACCAUACCAUUUUUUUUAAGUUGUCAAAAAAUAUAUACGUUUAGUUUAUUGCCAAAUAUGAUAAAUAAAUAAAUAAUCCUACUAAAAUUUUAGCAAUACUACCAUCUUACCAUCUUGCCAAAAUUUGGUAAGAUUUAUUUUAGCUACAAUCUGAACAUUCCCUUUCUUUGCUUCGAGUUGCAUUUGCACAAAUUGCAUUUCUCAUUUUCCCAUUCUGUUUUUCUUGCAGCGGCGUCCAACUCGUCGGCUCUCGGCGUCGUGCACCGGCACGGGCCGUGCUCGCCGGUGCAGGCUCGUCCUCGCGGCGGCGGCGGCGCUGUCACCCACGCCGAGAUCCUGGAACGCGACCAGGCCAGGGUCGACUCCAUCCACCGCAAGGUCGCCGGCGCCGGGGGCGCGCCGUCGGUGGUCGACCCGGCACGCGCCUCGGAGCAGGGCGUGUCGCUGCCGGCGCAGAGGGGCAUCUCCCUCGGCACCGGCAACUACGUCGUGUCCGUCGGGCUCGGGACGCCGGCGAAGCAGUACGCCGUGAUCUUCGACACCGGCAGCGACCUGUCGUGGGUGCAGUGCAAGCCCUGCGCCGACUGCUACGAGCAGCAGGACCCGCUGUUCGACCCGUCGCUGUCGUCGACGUACGCCGCCGUGGCGUGCGGCGCGCCGGAGUGCCAGGAGCUCGACGCGUCGGGCUGCUCGUCGGACAGCAGGUGCCGGUACGAGGUCCAGUACGGCGACCAGUCGCAGACCGACGGCAACCUCGUGCGCGACACGCUGACGCUCUCGGCGUCGGACACGCUCCCGGGCUUCGUCUUCGGGUGCGGCGACCAGAACGCCGGGCUGUUCGGCCAGGUCGACGGGCUGUUCGGCCUCGGCAGGGAGAAGGUGUCGCUGCCGUCGCAGGGCGCGCCGAGCUACGGCCCCGGAUUCACCUACUGCCUACCGUCGUCGUCGAGCGGCAGGGGCUACCUGUCCCUCGGCGGCGCCCCGCCGGCGAACGCGCAGUUCACGGCGCUGGCCGACGGCGCGACGCCGUCGUUCUACUACAUCGACCUCGUCGGCAUCAAGGUCGGCGGCCGCGCGAUCAGGAUCCCGGCGACGGCGUUCGCGGCGGCCGGCGGCACGGUGAUCGACUCCGGCACGGUGAUCACCCGCCUCCCGCCGCGCGCGUACGCGCCGCUCCGCGCGGCGUUCGCGCGCUCCAUGGCGCAGUACAAGAAGGCGCCCGCGCUGUCCAUCCUCGACACGUGCUACGACUUCACCGGCCACCGGACGGCGCAGAUACCCACGGUGGAGCUGGCGUUCGCCGGCGGCGCCACCGUCAGCCUCGACUUCACCGGCGUGCUCUACGUCUCCAAGGUGUCGCAGGCGUGCCUGGCGUUCGCGCCCAACGCCGACGACUCGUCCAUCGCCAUCCUCGGGAACACGCAGCAGAAGACGUUCGCCGUCGCGUACGACGUUGCCAACCAGAGGAUCGGCUUCGGCGCCAAGGGAUGCAGCUGAUUACAAUCCGAGAUGAUGAAUCAAUCGAUCAUUUUGUUUUGUUACAGUGACAUAUAUAUGGGGAAAAAAUAGUGAAAAAAAACUGCAAUAAAUAAGCAUCAUCGAUAGUGACAUGGAAGAAGUUGAAAACCGUUAAAAAUAUUUUUGAUGCAAACCAGUUCGGGCUAGUAACAGUAUUACAGUGUGCCUGAUAGUAGCACAUUUCAGGCUUUAUUUAAUUAUUUUUUUAUCACUCUCUGGACACUGAACAGUGAACACUAUACUACCACAAGAGGCAGCAGCUCACACAGUGAAAACCGAAAAGAUGUUACGGUGGUUUAUGGUACGAGUGUAAGUGGCGUGAAAUCCACUUGUAGGCUAAAAUAAACCGCAAAUCCACUUAUAAAUUAAAAUAAGUGGGUUCGCGGCUCACCGACCAACACCCAUAGUCUACCCACUUACACCGUCUAUGGCACGCCAUGGUGAUUGAUGGCGUCGGUGGCGGUGUCAACGCGGCCGGUGCCGGCGGCGGCAGCGGCGGUGUCGCCUUGUUGGUGGCGGCGCUGUGUGGCGACGGGGACGGCGGUGCCGGGGAUGGUGGGGGCGUCGGUGCCGCAGCCGCCGUGGGGGACGUCGGAGACGGGGAGGUGGCCGCGGGCGCCGUAGGCGCGCAGCUUGUAGUCCUCCAGGCCGUCGUCCUUCUUGUACUGCACGUACGGGCUGGUGUCCAUCGGCAGCUGCACCGUGUCGCCGGCGUCCGGCUUCCUCUGCUGCUGCUGCUGCUGGGUCUCCUUGGUUGCCUCCAUUGCAAGUCCUCCGCUUGAUCUGCAGCAAGAGUGCAGCCUUGUUUCUCUGAAUGUGUACUUGACCUGGUAGUAUCCAACACUGUUUAUAAUGGAUGUUGCUUUUGGCCUACUACUAGUAGAAUCCAAGACUAGUUUUAUGUGUGUGGAUAGAGCUAGGGAUUCGGGUUUCAUGGCCACCUCGCCAUGGCAGUGCACCAGGUGUCAAGCAGAGGAAGUACUCACGACGGGCAAUCGACACGUACCUCUAACCUCUGCCUCCGAUCCGAUACAGAUGCACGUGAGCUCAGCCAGCAGAUCAGCCGACACGUACCUCACGAUGUCCUCACAACGCAAAAACGCAUAUGUGCUCCAUCUCUCAACCGGCGGAUCAGUUCGUCAGUUGGGUUUGUGCUAGAGCGGAGGGGCAGAAAUUACUGGUCCACUACUACUAAGUAGUACUCGAGGUCGACCAAAGAUGAUUGAAACAACGAAAAGAUGAUUGAAACGGAAACAGAAAGCUCUCGAGGUCGACCAAAGAUGAUUGAAACAACGAAAUUCCCUGCAGAUGGUUAAUUGAUCAAAGCAAGAAGACAUUCGAGGCAUUCUAUCUUGCAGGCAUCAACAGUGAACAAACAUUCCAUCACUCAUUCAAACUAAAUAGCCUUGUACUAACAAAUUGAAGUUCAAGAAUACUGCAGGCUAAAAAUGGUCCAUCAUUCCAUCAAUUUGCAGCAACCAGGCAUACUAAGCUUACCAUCCACUAUCUAGCCAUACAAUAACAGAUGGAAGAAGUUCCAGCAUACUGCGGGCAAACAAUGGUCCAUCAUUCCAUCAAUUUGCAGCAACCAGGCUUAUUAGGAAGAAGUUCCAGAAUACUGGUCGGGCUGCUCACAACAGCUACUUGGAAUACUCAAGUUCAAGAUGGAAAUUGGCACACUCCAAGGGAUUCAGCCAACAUAAUUUGAUAAAAAAAGACGUUAUAAGUAUGAAUAAGAAGCUGGCAUAUACUUCGGCUAGUAGCAUUGCAACGCAAACAGUAUGACAAGGUACCACGCAUUGUUUAAGAGCUAAGACAAAGACAAAACUGAUGCAUCCAACGUACCAAAAAGAAAGCGAACAGCAGCAGUCAGAUAGCUAUGAGAAGAGAACUAGGAGAGGGAUAACUAGAAGGGACAGAAUGGCAUCCAUGGGUCCAUGACGUUUAGUCGACCUCCUCCAUCUUGCUCUCGCCGGCGUCGUCCUCCAGCGGCGGCAUGUCGGCGUCAGCCUCGGCGGACUCGUCCUCGUCGAUGCUCAGGCCGAGCUUGAGCAUGCGGUGGAUCCUGGUGCCGAAGGUGUUGGGGUCCUCCAAGCUGAAACCGGAGGUCAGCAGGGCAGUCUCGAAGAGCAGCAUCACCAGGUCCUUCACGGACUUGUCAUUCUUGUCCGCAUCGGCACGCUUGCGGAGCUCGUCCAUGAUGGCAUUCUCCGGGUUGAUCUCCAUGGUCUUCUUGCUAGACAUGUAGCCGGCCAUGCUGGAGUCCCUCAGAGCCUGGGCCUUCAUGAUCCUCUCCAUGUUAGCAGUCCAGCCAUACUCCCCAGUGACUAGACAGCAGGGAGAGUCCACCACACGGUCAGAGACAACAACCUUCUCCACCUUGUCACCGAGCACCUCCUUGAUCACCUUGCACAGACCCUCGAACUUCUCCUUGAGUUCCUCCUGCCGCUUCUUCUCGUCCUCACUCUCAUCAAGCUUCAGACCUUCCUUGGUGGCAGAGACGAGCUUCUUGCCUUCAAACUCCUUAAGCUGACCAACAGCGUACUCAUCAAUGGCAUCAACCAUGUACAGGACCUCAUAACCCUUCUUCUUCAGCUUCUCGAGGAAGGGGGAGUUCUCAACAGCCUUCUUGCUCUCACCAGUGAUGUAAUAGAUCUCACUCUGGCCCUCCUUCAUCCGGGUUACGUAGUCCUUGAGGCUGGUCAACUCAUCACCACUCUUGGUGGAGUGAUACCUCAGGAGCUCAGCAAUCUUGGUCCUGUUGGUGGAAUCCUCAUGGAUGCCAAGCUUGAGAUUCUUGGAGAAAGCCUCGUAGAACUUGUUGUAGUCUUCCUUGUUCUCAGCGAUCUCAAAGAAGAGCUCCACGCACUUCUUCACAAGGUUCUUGCGGAUCACCUUCAGGAUCUUGUUCUGCUGGAGCAUCUCACGUGAGAUGUUGAGGGGAAGGUCUUCAGAAUCAACAAUGCCCUUGACAAAGCUGAGCCACUCUGGGAUCAACUCCUCACAGUUGUCCAUGAUAAACACCCGGCGUACGUACAGCUUGAUGUUGUUUUGCUUCUUCCUGGUGUCAAAGAGGUCAAAUGGCGCUCUCUUUGGUACAAACAGGAUGGCCUUGAAUUCAAGCUGACCCUCCACAGAGAAGUGCUUGACAGCCAGAUGUUCCUCCCAGUCGUUUGUCAAGCUCUUGUAGAAAGCAGCGUACUCUUCCUUGGUGAUCUCCUCUGGCUUCCUCAACCAAAUGGGUUUCUGCUUGUUCAUCACGUUCCACUCGUGAGAGACUUCCUUGAUCUUCUUCUUUUUCUUCUCUUUCUCUUCCUUCUCCUCAUCAACAUCCUCAACCUUUCCCUCCUCAGCAUCCUUCUUCUCUUCCUCGUCUUCAUCAUCAGAAAUCUCCUUCUCAGUUGUCUUCUCAGUCCAUAGGGAGAUAGGGUAGCUGAUGAACUCAGAAUGCUUCUUCACCAGAUCCUUGAGGCGACGCUCCUCAAGGUAUUCCAGCUGCAAGCAAAAAUUGCAGUUGUUUAUUAAACAACAAACAGCAAGAGAACACAAGAGACAAGAAACAAAACAAACAAUACAAGUAUUUAUUUCAACAAGGUGUUAUGCUGCUAUGCAUUCUGAUAAGAACAUUGGGACAAACGAUAUACUCCCUCCGUUUCGAAAUGUUUGACGCCGUUGACUUUUUAGCACAUGUUUGACCGUUCGUCUUAUUCAAAAAAAUUAAGUAAUUAUUAAUUCUUUUCCUAUCAUUUGAUUCAUUGUUAAAUAUAUUUUUGUGUAGGCAUAUAAUUUUACAUAUCUCACAAAAGUUUUUGAAUAAGACGAACGGUCAAACAUGUGCUAAAAAAGUCAACGGUGUCAAACAUUUCAAAACGAAGGGAGUAUAUAAAUUGAUUAGCAGAAUACAACAACAAAGACAGACCAUAACUAUGUAACAAUGUUAGCAUACAAGGAAGUCAUAACUACAGCACAAAAGAACAGAGACAAGCUGAAAAGCAGUAAAUCUCAAAAUUCAUUUCAUGUUAAUGGAAAACAGUAAGAUGUAUACAACUAAAUCUCAAAAUUCAUUUCAUAUUAAUGGAAAACAGUAAGAUGUAUACAACAGCAAAUAUGCAUUGUUACAACUAAUACUAUUGCUUCAUUAAGUGAUUACUACCGAGGAAACCCAGAUCACUAGUUCAGAAUUACAGUUUAGCGGCAUUGUUAAUUUUUAGUCAAUAUAACCAAGAGAGCAAGAUACCACUAUUCCAAAAACUGCUGUACACCCCUAAUCUAUACAGUUCAUUUAUUGUAGCAUACAAGGAAGUCACAACUACAGCACAAAAGAACAGAAAGACAAGCUGAAAGCAGUAAAUCUCAAAAUUCAUUUCAUGUUAACGGAAAACAGUAAGAUGUAUACUACACCAAAUAUAUAUUGUUACAACUAAUACUAUUGUUUAAUUAAGUGAUUACUACCAAAGAAACCCAUAUCACUAGUUCAGAAUUACGGUUUAUCAGCAAUGUUGAUUUUCAGUAAAUGUAACCAAGAGAACAAGAUACCACUAUUCCAAAAACUGCUGUACACCCCUAAUCUAUACAGUUCAUUUAUUGUACUACAAAAUGAGCACCAUGUCAUCAAGACAACCUCUUAUUAAAGUAGCAAGAAUAUUUCUUCAGAACAUGCUAACAGUCAAGAAAGAUCAUGUACACUGGUAGCAUGCCAACUCAACCAUACAGGCCCGAACUCAUCCAAUUGUCAUAUGUACAGAACAUCUAAAGUUCUGACAAAAAAAACAUCACAUGGACAGCAACAUAUAUCACACAAGUAAUAGGAAUUCACAAGAGAAAUGUGCUGAAUCUUAUACCUGAUCAUCCUUGAGGUAGAGGGUGAUCUUAGUACCCCGUCCAAGCUGCUCACCAGAGGUAUCACGUGUAACAGUGAAGGACCCACCGGCCUGUGACUCCCACACAUACUGCUCGUCGUCGUUGUGCUUGGUGGUCACAACAACCCUCUCAGCAACAAGGUAGGCGGAGUAGAACCCGACACCAAACUGCCCAAUCAUGGACACAUCAGCACCAGCAGCGAGCGCCUCCAUGAACUCCUUGGUCCCCGACCUGGCGAUGGUACCGAGGUUGUUGACGAGGUCCGACUUGGUCAUGCCGACACCACUGUCGAUGAUCGACAGGGUGUUGCUAGCCUUGUCGGGGACAAUGUGGAUGAACAGCUCCGGCUGCGCAUCGAGCUUGCUCUUGUCCGUGAGGCUCUCGAACCUAAUCUUAUCCAAUGCCUGCAGAAACCACACACACCCAUGUCACAUCGAAUUCAUCACCCAAACACACAGAUCUGUAAAAGCAUCAGCACACUACCACACUAUACAGAUUACACGCACGGGUAAACACACAACCCUCGCUGAUUUGUAACAAGUUUAUGCUAGUGCUCAGAUGUGGCCAUAUUCACAUUUCGAUGAGUAAAACAAACAAAUAAACUAGCACAAACUCUACAAAUCACGAGUCAACGCUCACACCUCAUUGAUUUGAAACAGGUCUACGCCCUAUCAGUAUAUGAUCCUCAGAUGCCGUCACGCUCACAGAUCGACGCGUACAACAACAGCAAAGAGCACAUAAGCAAGCACCGAUUUCGAUUCCUCGACGAGAGGGGAUUAAUUUCGGGGGCGGCGCAAACUUACAUCGGAGGAGUUGGAGAUGAGCUCGCGGAGGAAGAUCUCCUUGUUGGAGUAGAAGGUGUUGAUGAUGAGGGACAGCAGCUGGUUGAUCUCGGCCUGGAAGGCGAACGUCUCGGUCUCCGACGCCAUGGCCGCGCGCCUUGCGUGCUCCUGAUCUCUCGCCGGCGGGAAGAGGAGCUCGCGGGCGGAGGAGACGACGCGCGGCUGCGGCUGCGGCUGCGGCGGCGGCUAGGGUUAGGAGAGGGUUUUGAGAGGGCGAGAUCGUGGGGGUGGGAGAUGCUUUUAUGCGGUCCUCGUUGUUCUCGAACCUUCUACGUGGGCCUAGAAGCCGGCGAGGCCGCAGCGCGUGUUGACUAGUCGUUGCGGGUGGGCCAGGCCGGACCGGCAGUGAGAUUUUGCGCGUGAUUAGGUGUAGUGGGCGUAUAGAAGGCCAUAAAAUUCUGAAGAAAAUGAGGCCCAUAAAGCCCAUGAAGACAAGCGAGGGUCCAGUGGCCCGUAAAGCCCAUGAAAACAAACUAGGAUCAAGUCGCCAAUGAAGUCUAUGAAAACAAGCUAUGAAGCGCAUUCAAGACAGUAGAGGGUCCAGUCGCCGGCGAAGCCCAUGGAAAGAAAGGGAGGGUCAAGAGGAGAGAUUUGAUAAUUUAACCCUUUUCAAAAUGGGUUUCGAUUAUUAGAUUCUAAACCACUUUAAUCCACUCAGAUAGUCCCACGUGAAGUUGGAGAUGGAUAUUUGCAAAUAAACCCCUUCUACUAUUAUAGGCAUGUUCAGAUUGUAGCCAAAAUAAACCUUACCAAGUUUUGGCAAUACCAAAAUUUUAACAAGAUGGCAAUAUUGCCAACAUUUUGGCAGGAUUUCUUAUGUAUUGACCAAAUUUGGUAACAAACUAAACGUAUAUAUUUUUUGGCAACUUUGACAAAAAAAAUGGUAUGGUUGAAAAUGGCAUCAAAAUGAACAGGCCCUAUGUGUUCAAGAGUAUUAGUUGGAUACUUCCGGCCUCAUCGGUUACUCAUAUUUUCUAAUAAGCCAUUUUGGUUCAUUAGAUAAUAAAAAACUAAUUUAUUGGUAAAACUUUUUAUACAUGUGUUCUUAACGAUUUAAAAGUCGAUGCUGAAAAAAAAACUAUGUUGAAAAAAAUCUUUAAAUCAACUUCAAAAUUAAGUUUAAAAAUUCAAAUUUUAUCUUUUGCUUUGGCUUAUUAAGGCAACCGAUGGGGCUCUUCUUCUUUCUGUACAGAAAACAAUAUAGUUCAUUAGCACAUGAUUAAAUAUUAGUAAAAGAAUAAAAAUAGAUUAAUAUGAUUUUAAAAAUUCAACUUUUCUAUAGUAAAUUUUUUUAAGAAAAACACAAUGUUUAGUUGUUGAAGAAAUAUGCAUGAAAAACAAGGGAGUAAAAAGUGGAAAAGUGGUGUUUCUACCCUUCAACCAGAUGCAGCCAUGCAGGUCAUCUGCAAUAUUGUACAUGCAAUAUUGCUCACUGACAUGUGAACCCCAUAGCCUCUCGGGCUCACAUGUAAGUGAGCAGUACUGCUCAAUUGUCCUUCAACCAUCCUGUGGUCAGCACCACAAAUGGACGGAACGAGAGAUCGUGCGGUUGCACAUGAUUUAACGCCUUAAUUAACUACUCCAAGAUAUUAACCGCACUAAUGUCCUGCACCUGUGUUUGACUCGAGAGGGUAAUUAGCGUGGACGUCACUAAUGAUGGUCGUCGUCUACUCGUCUUUCGUACUCAGUGCGAUCGAUGAAGUGACAGUAAAUGUUAGCUAGCCAUGCACUUUGUACAGUUUCUUCGCCCAUUUCUGCACGCGGCUGACUGACCAGAUGCAAUGCACUUGUACACGUUUGGUAGGCCGUCUUCGAUCCAUUCCCGGUUAAUCAAAUGAUAUAUGUAAUUAUGUAUAUCUUCUCUUGUAUAUAUGCAGCAUGCUAGUAUAAUGUUAGGUACAGUUCUUUUGGGUUAUUUUUUUUAUCUCGAUUUUGUCAUGGCAACUACGAGCAAACGCUGCUUUUCCUGCUUGUCCUACGAGCCUGAACAAACGGCAGGAUGUUGCACAAAGUGACAGUCCUUGUUAGGUUUCUGCUCUUCUGCACUGCACUAUCCAUUUGCAAAUAUUUUGCAUGGAAGCUAGCAGAAAAUGCUAUGUGUUGUUCAUGAGUCUAAUCAAAGUUAAUUAAUCAAAUCUGAUGCUGUCUAAGGAGCAUAUUGGAAUGCAUCAAUCAUAUGAGUGUGUGUAACUUAUUGGUGCCCUUUGUGUGCCAAUGUCUCAUCCUCUGUCAUGUUCUCAAUGUAUCAACGCUGUAACUUCUCAAGAAUCAAUGUUUAUGUACUACUACUACAACUACAUAGUUUAACUAACUCCUAACCAGGGCUAAACUGAACCAACUAAACAAUUACGGAGUAUUACUGAACAACAAGAACAGCGCUUAAUUAGCAAUGCGCGUUUCGUUUCAUCUCACGCAGCAAUGACACACGCUUGCAACGCACCAGCUGUGUUUGUGAUCACUUUGUCAGUGCAUCAGCAAAUCGAGCACUGCAUGCAUACGCAUUUCCUGCUUUCUGGCGUGGUGGAGGCAGGAAAGCAACCUCCAACAUAUCAGCAUUCACCACCCAAUAUAUUACACAAUUUGUGACACAGGUCGGUCUCUCUGCCUGCCUUUCGGAACGGGAAGAGGUGUCAUUUUCCUAUGCCCAUUUCGAUCGUAGCCAAAUUGAUCUAGAUUUGAAAUAAAUUAUAUAUAUAUAUAUAUAUAUAUAUAUAUAUAUAUAUAUGGCAACGUAAUCCUUCUGUUUUAAAAUAUAAGCAUUUCGCAUUCAGGUUCCAAUGGGCAAGAAUUCAAGCAUUCUAAUCAAUCAGGUGCUUAUACGGUGAAUCCAGACAAUUCGAAAUUUGACCGGAAUUCUUUUUUCUUAUCCUUUAUCUUUGCUAAACAUCAUAGGAACAUUUACAUUUAGAGCGAUGCUGGGGAUCCACUUAAUUUAAGUGGCUCCGACUUGACGUACGACUGAUCUAAACGGCAAUUUACGCUCAGUCUGUGUUUAGUUCCACACUAAAAUUAGAAGUUUAAAAAAAUAGGAAUGAUGUGAUGGAAAAGUUGAAAAUUUGCGUACGUAGGAAAGUUCGAUGUGAUAAAAAAAUUAGAAGUUUGAAAAAAAAGUUGAAAUCUAAACAGGGCCUCCGUAGUGCGCGUGUUCGUGCUCGUGCAAUCAAGUUGGAUCGAGUUGGGAGUUGGAGUUGACAGUUCGUCACUAGCUCGAUCGCUAGUCGUCGCCGUGUGUGUAAUGCCAUGGUGCUCCUUGAUCGGACGCCGGCUAGUAGCUAGCCAGCAGCGUGUGUGGCGAACAACCUAAUCUUUUUCCUUCGCACGGGCGGCCGGCUGACGGCGACGAGCCGCCGACGACGAGGAGGACGACUUUGACGCCCGCGUGUGGUGUGGACCAGGGCACCAACAGCAGUGGUGGUUUAUGCGUUGCCAACUACUGACGAGAUGCUAUAUAAGCAGCAGCAAUGGCCAUCGCUUCAGCUGCACGGACAAAUUAAGCGAGGGAGUGAGAGCUAGCUAACUCAGGCUCAGCCAACUGAUCGCGAGCUGUGACGAGGUGAUCACCAUGGCGUCCUCGUCGUCGCUUCUUGUUCGUGGGAGAGCGUUCGCGCUGGUUGUGGCUGUAGCUCUGGUGGCUGCUCCUCGCCGGAUUAAUGGCGGCGCCGCCGGGCCGGCGGCGAGGACGAACGACCCCAACUGGCACGUCUUCAGCGUCAGCUCGCUGCUGCCGAGCUCGGCCUGCACUGCAUCGAAAGGUAGUGUCAGUUUUGCAGCCUGUCUCCUUUCGCAACUGUAUCUGAAACUGAAGCAGUUACUGCGGAAAAAUAAUGUAACCUGGUCGGCCAUUAACCAUCUCGAUCGAACUUGCUUUAUAUAAAUCUCGUCCAUUUGAUCAAACUGAGGAAUUGAAAAACCCAAUAAGAAAUCUGUUAGGCCAAUUUGGAGUAUGGUUAGUCUGUAUCCUGCAAACAAGUAUUGUGACUGAAGUAGCAUCUGCAUUAUUCUGAAAUUUUAGUACCACUGAAACUCAGCUACCGUGAUAGCAUAUGCAGCAUAUAUCGAAUUUAUAAGAUAUUCUAAGGGAAACAUAAUAUGUUUUACAGUAGUAUUGAUCAGAAUUACAUCAGGUAAUCUGUUGCUGAUUGAUGCGAGUAAACUUUUGGCAUGCUGAUGACUGAUCACUACACAAAAUUUUCAGUGCAGUAAAAAGCUUUGGGGCGGUUCAGAUUAAAGCCAUUUUUAACCAUACCAUUUUUUUUAAGUUGUCAAAAAAUAUAUACGUUUAGUUUAUUGCCAAAUAUGAUAAAUAAAUAAAUAAUCCUACUAAAAUUUUAGCAAUACUACCAUCUUACCAUCUUGCCAAAAUUUGGUAAGAUUUAUUUUAGCUACAAUCUGAACAUUCCCUUUCUUUGCUUCGAGUUGCAUUUGCACAAAUUGCAUUUCUCAUUUUCCCAUUCUGUUUUUCUUGCAGCGGCGUCCAACUCGUCGGCUCUCGGCGUCGUGCACCGGCACGGGCCGUGCUCGCCGGUGCAGGCUCGUCCUCGCGGCGGCGGCGGCGCUGUCACCCACGCCGAGAUCCUGGAACGCGACCAGGCCAGGGUCGACUCCAUCCACCGCAAGGUCGCCGGCGCCGGGGGCGCGCCGUCGGUGGUCGACCCGGCACGCGCCUCGGAGCAGGGCGUGUCGCUGCCGGCGCAGAGGGGCAUCUCCCUCGGCACCGGCAACUACGUCGUGUCCGUCGGGCUCGGGACGCCGGCGAAGCAGUACGCCGUGAUCUUCGACACCGGCAGCGACCUGUCGUGGGUGCAGUGCAAGCCCUGCGCCGACUGCUACGAGCAGCAGGACCCGCUGUUCGACCCGUCGCUGUCGUCGACGUACGCCGCCGUGGCGUGCGGCGCGCCGGAGUGCCAGGAGCUCGACGCGUCGGGCUGCUCGUCGGACAGCAGGUGCCGGUACGAGGUCCAGUACGGCGACCAGUCGCAGACCGACGGCAACCUCGUGCGCGACACGCUGACGCUCUCGGCGUCGGACACGCUCCCGGGCUUCGUCUUCGGGUGCGGCGACCAGAACGCCGGGCUGUUCGGCCAGGUCGACGGGCUGUUCGGCCUCGGCAGGGAGAAGGUGUCGCUGCCGUCGCAGGGCGCGCCGAGCUACGGCCCCGGAUUCACCUACUGCCUACCGUCGUCGUCGAGCGGCAGGGGCUACCUGUCCCUCGGCGGCGCCCCGCCGGCGAACGCGCAGUUCACGGCGCUGGCCGACGGCGCGACGCCGUCGUUCUACUACAUCGACCUCGUCGGCAUCAAGGUCGGCGGCCGCGCGAUCAGGAUCCCGGCGACGGCGUUCGCGGCGGCCGGCGGCACGGUGAUCGACUCCGGCACGGUGAUCACCCGCCUCCCGCCGCGCGCGUACGCGCCGCUCCGCGCGGCGUUCGCGCGCUCCAUGGCGCAGUACAAGAAGGCGCCCGCGCUGUCCAUCCUCGACACGUGCUACGACUUCACCGGCCACCGGACGGCGCAGAUACCCACGGUGGAGCUGGCGUUCGCCGGCGGCGCCACCGUCAGCCUCGACUUCACCGGCGUGCUCUACGUCUCCAAGGUGUCGCAGGCGUGCCUGGCGUUCGCGCCCAACGCCGACGACUCGUCCAUCGCCAUCCUCGGGAACACGCAGCAGAAGACGUUCGCCGUCGCGUACGACGUUGCCAACCAGAGGAUCGGCUUCGGCGCCAAGGGAUGCAGCUGAUUACAAUCCGAGAUGAUGAAUCAAUCGAUCAUUUUGUUUUGUUACAGUGACAUAUAUAUGGGGAAAAAAUAGUGAAAAAAAACUGCAAUAAAUAAGCAUCAUCGAUAGUGACAUGGAAGAAGUUGAAAACCGUUAAAAAUAUUUUUGAUGCAAACCAGUUCGGGCUAGUAACAGUAUUACAGUGUGCCUGAUAGUAGCACAUUUCAGGCUUUAUUUAAUUAUUUUUUUAUCACUCUCUGGACACUGAACAGUGAACACUAUACUACCACAAGAGGCAGCAGCUCACACAGUGAAAACCGAAAAGAUGUUACGGUGGUUUAUGGUACGAGUGUAAGUGGCGUGAAAUCCACUUGUAGGCUAAAAUAAACCGCAAAUCCACUUAUAAAUUAAAAUAAGUGGGUUCGCGGCUCACCGACCAACACCCAUAGUCUACCCACUUACACCGUCUAUGGCACGCCAUGGUGAUUGAUGGCGUCGGUGGCGGUGUCAACGCGGCCGGUGCCGGCGGCGGCAGCGGCGGUGUCGCCUUGUUGGUGGCGGCGCUGUGUGGCGACGGGGACGGCGGUGCCGGGGAUGGUGGGGGCGUCGGUGCCGCAGCCGCCGUGGGGGACGUCGGAGACGGGGAGGUGGCCGCGGGCGCCGUAGGCGCGCAGCUUGUAGUCCUCCAGGCCGUCGUCCUUCUUGUACUGCACGUACGGGCUGGUGUCCAUCGGCAGCUGCACCGUGUCGCCGGCGUCCGGCUUCCUCUGCUGCUGCUGCUGCUGGGUCUCCUUGGUUGCCUCCAUUGCAAGUCCUCCGCUUGAUCUGCAGCAAGAGUGCAGCCUUGUUUCUCUGAAUGUGUACUUGACCUGGUAGUAUCCAACACUGUUUAUAAUGGAUGUUGCUUUUGGCCUACUACUAGUAGAAUCCAAGACUAGUUUUAUGUGUGUGGAUAGAGCUAGGGAUUCGGGUUUCAUGGCCACCUCGCCAUGGCAGUGCACCAGGUGUCAAGCAGAGGAAGUACUCACGACGGGCAAUCGACACGUACCUCUAACCUCUGCCUCCGAUCCGAUACAGAUGCACGUGAGCUCAGCCAGCAGAUCAGCCGACACGUACCUCACGAUGUCCUCACAACGCAAAAACGCAUAUGUGCUCCAUCUCUCAACCGGCGGAUCAGUUCGUCAGUUGGGUUUGUGCUAGAGCGGAGGGGCAGAAAUUACUGGUCCACUACUACUAAGUAGUACUCGAGGUCGACCAAAGAUGAUUGAAACAACGAAAAGAUGAUUGAAACGGAAACAGAAAGCUCUCGAGGUCGACCAAAGAUGAUUGAAACAACGAAAUUCCCUGCAGAUGGUUAAUUGAUCAAAGCAAGAAGACAUUCGAGGCAUUCUAUCUUGCAGGCAUCAACAGUGAACAAACAUUCCAUCACUCAUUCAAACUAAAUAGCCUUGUACUAACAAAUUGAAGUUCAAGAAUACUGCAGGCUAAAAAUGGUCCAUCAUUCCAUCAAUUUGCAGCAACCAGGCAUACUAAGCUUACCAUCCACUAUCUAGCCAUACAAUAACAGAUGGAAGAAGUUCCAGCAUACUGCGGGCAAACAAUGGUCCAUCAUUCCAUCAAUUUGCAGCAACCAGGCUUAUUAGGAAGAAGUUCCAGAAUACUGGUCGGGCUGCUCACAACAGCUACUUGGAAUACUCAAGUUCAAGAUGGAAAUUGGCACACUCCAAGGGAUUCAGCCAACAUAAUUUGAUAAAAAAAGACGUUAUAAGUAUGAAUAAGAAGCUGGCAUAUACUUCGGCUAGUAGCAUUGCAACGCAAACAGUAUGACAAGGUACCACGCAUUGUUUAAGAGCUAAGACAAAGACAAAACUGAUGCAUCCAACGUACCAAAAAGAAAGCGAACAGCAGCAGUCAGAUAGCUAUGAGAAGAGAACUAGGAGAGGGAUAACUAGAAGGGACAGAAUGGCAUCCAUGGGUCCAUGACGUUUAGUCGACCUCCUCCAUCUUGCUCUCGCCGGCGUCGUCCUCCAGCGGCGGCAUGUCGGCGUCAGCCUCGGCGGACUCGUCCUCGUCGAUGCUCAGGCCGAGCUUGAGCAUGCGGUGGAUCCUGGUGCCGAAGGUGUUGGGGUCCUCCAAGCUGAAACCGGAGGUCAGCAGGGCAGUCUCGAAGAGCAGCAUCACCAGGUCCUUCACGGACUUGUCAUUCUUGUCCGCAUCGGCACGCUUGCGGAGCUCGUCCAUGAUGGCAUUCUCCGGGUUGAUCUCCAUGGUCUUCUUGCUAGACAUGUAGCCGGCCAUGCUGGAGUCCCUCAGAGCCUGGGCCUUCAUGAUCCUCUCCAUGUUAGCAGUCCAGCCAUACUCCCCAGUGACUAGACAGCAGGGAGAGUCCACCACACGGUCAGAGACAACAACCUUCUCCACCUUGUCACCGAGCACCUCCUUGAUCACCUUGCACAGACCCUCGAACUUCUCCUUGAGUUCCUCCUGCCGCUUCUUCUCGUCCUCACUCUCAUCAAGCUUCAGACCUUCCUUGGUGGCAGAGACGAGCUUCUUGCCUUCAAACUCCUUAAGCUGACCAACAGCGUACUCAUCAAUGGCAUCAACCAUGUACAGGACCUCAUAACCCUUCUUCUUCAGCUUCUCGAGGAAGGGGGAGUUCUCAACAGCCUUCUUGCUCUCACCAGUGAUGUAAUAGAUCUCACUCUGGCCCUCCUUCAUCCGGGUUACGUAGUCCUUGAGGCUGGUCAACUCAUCACCACUCUUGGUGGAGUGAUACCUCAGGAGCUCAGCAAUCUUGGUCCUGUUGGUGGAAUCCUCAUGGAUGCCAAGCUUGAGAUUCUUGGAGAAAGCCUCGUAGAACUUGUUGUAGUCUUCCUUGUUCUCAGCGAUCUCAAAGAAGAGCUCCACGCACUUCUUCACAAGGUUCUUGCGGAUCACCUUCAGGAUCUUGUUCUGCUGGAGCAUCUCACGUGAGAUGUUGAGGGGAAGGUCUUCAGAAUCAACAAUGCCCUUGACAAAGCUGAGCCACUCUGGGAUCAACUCCUCACAGUUGUCCAUGAUAAACACCCGGCGUACGUACAGCUUGAUGUUGUUUUGCUUCUUCCUGGUGUCAAAGAGGUCAAAUGGCGCUCUCUUUGGUACAAACAGGAUGGCCUUGAAUUCAAGCUGACCCUCCACAGAGAAGUGCUUGACAGCCAGAUGUUCCUCCCAGUCGUUUGUCAAGCUCUUGUAGAAAGCAGCGUACUCUUCCUUGGUGAUCUCCUCUGGCUUCCUCAACCAAAUGGGUUUCUGCUUGUUCAUCACGUUCCACUCGUGAGAGACUUCCUUGAUCUUCUUCUUUUUCUUCUCUUUCUCUUCCUUCUCCUCAUCAACAUCCUCAACCUUUCCCUCCUCAGCAUCCUUCUUCUCUUCCUCGUCUUCAUCAUCAGAAAUCUCCUUCUCAGUUGUCUUCUCAGUCCAUAGGGAGAUAGGGUAGCUGAUGAACUCAGAAUGCUUCUUCACCAGAUCCUUGAGGCGACGCUCCUCAAGGUAUUCCAGCUGCAAGCAAAAAUUGCAGUUGUUUAUUAAACAACAAACAGCAAGAGAACACAAGAGACAAGAAACAAAACAAACAAUACAAGUAUUUAUUUCAACAAGGUGUUAUGCUGCUAUGCAUUCUGAUAAGAACAUUGGGACAAACGAUAUACUCCCUCCGUUUCGAAAUGUUUGACGCCGUUGACUUUUUAGCACAUGUUUGACCGUUCGUCUUAUUCAAAAAAAUUAAGUAAUUAUUAAUUCUUUUCCUAUCAUUUGAUUCAUUGUUAAAUAUAUUUUUGUGUAGGCAUAUAAUUUUACAUAUCUCACAAAAGUUUUUGAAUAAGACGAACGGUCAAACAUGUGCUAAAAAAGUCAACGGUGUCAAACAUUUCAAAACGAAGGGAGUAUAUAAAUUGAUUAGCAGAAUACAACAACAAAGACAGACCAUAACUAUGUAACAAUGUUAGCAUACAAGGAAGUCAUAACUACAGCACAAAAGAACAGAGACAAGCUGAAAAGCAGUAAAUCUCAAAAUUCAUUUCAUGUUAAUGGAAAACAGUAAGAUGUAUACAACUAAAUCUCAAAAUUCAUUUCAUAUUAAUGGAAAACAGUAAGAUGUAUACAACAGCAAAUAUGCAUUGUUACAACUAAUACUAUUGCUUCAUUAAGUGAUUACUACCGAGGAAACCCAGAUCACUAGUUCAGAAUUACAGUUUAGCGGCAUUGUUAAUUUUUAGUCAAUAUAACCAAGAGAGCAAGAUACCACUAUUCCAAAAACUGCUGUACACCCCUAAUCUAUACAGUUCAUUUAUUGUAGCAUACAAGGAAGUCACAACUACAGCACAAAAGAACAGAAAGACAAGCUGAAAGCAGUAAAUCUCAAAAUUCAUUUCAUGUUAACGGAAAACAGUAAGAUGUAUACUACACCAAAUAUAUAUUGUUACAACUAAUACUAUUGUUUAAUUAAGUGAUUACUACCAAAGAAACCCAUAUCACUAGUUCAGAAUUACGGUUUAUCAGCAAUGUUGAUUUUCAGUAAAUGUAACCAAGAGAACAAGAUACCACUAUUCCAAAAACUGCUGUACACCCCUAAUCUAUACAGUUCAUUUAUUGUACUACAAAAUGAGCACCAUGUCAUCAAGACAACCUCUUAUUAAAGUAGCAAGAAUAUUUCUUCAGAACAUGCUAACAGUCAAGAAAGAUCAUGUACACUGGUAGCAUGCCAACUCAACCAUACAGGCCCGAACUCAUCCAAUUGUCAUAUGUACAGAACAUCUAAAGUUCUGACAAAAAAAACAUCACAUGGACAGCAACAUAUAUCACACAAGUAAUAGGAAUUCACAAGAGAAAUGUGCUGAAUCUUAUACCUGAUCAUCCUUGAGGUAGAGGGUGAUCUUAGUACCCCGUCCAAGCUGCUCACCAGAGGUAUCACGUGUAACAGUGAAGGACCCACCGGCCUGUGACUCCCACACAUACUGCUCGUCGUCGUUGUGCUUGGUGGUCACAACAACCCUCUCAGCAACAAGGUAGGCGGAGUAGAACCCGACACCAAACUGCCCAAUCAUGGACACAUCAGCACCAGCAGCGAGCGCCUCCAUGAACUCCUUGGUCCCCGACCUGGCGAUGGUACCGAGGUUGUUGACGAGGUCCGACUUGGUCAUGCCGACACCACUG